UCUGGACUAGAGCCGGGUUGGGUUAAAGGAAGCUUCUAAUCCUAAAGUCUAAUUUUUGAUUAGAUCUCAAAUCAGGUAGGACUACCCGCUGAACUUAAGCAUAU
rnacentral:rRNA from 1 species